CACACCUUCACAUAUUAUCUUCAAGUACGCUUUUGGCAUUAGAAUAAUUAUUUUGAUAUGGCUUUGAAAGUGGUGACUUUUUUUCUUAUGUUCAUGGCGAUAGCACUUUGUGUUUCGCCAAAGGUUGAAGCAAGAAACGUCAAACUUUGUUGUUUUUGUCACAAAGAUGCAGAUUGUAAGGAUUUUUGUGGUGGAUUUCCUCCGUAUCGUUGUGCAAUGGGUGUAUGUGCUUGCUCAAUACAUGUGUCUCCUAAAAAGCAAAUUGCAAUAACUAAUGAGGGAACAAAUUGAAUAACCAACACUUCAUGGAAAAAAGAAACAAUGAAAAAAUGUUGGGGUUCCGUUUUUUCUCUUAUAAUAACUGAUAUUCAGUAUUUUAUUAUAUGUAAUUUAUAACAAGGCUAAUGCGAGAUAAUAAAAACUUUCUAUUUCUA